AGAGCGAACGCUGGCGGCAGGCCUAACACAUGCAAGUCGAGCGCCCGUAGCAAUACGGGAGCGGCAGACGGGAUAGUAACACGUGGGAACGCGCCCUUCGGUUCGGAAUAACUCAGGGAAACUUGAGCUAAUACCGGAUACGCCCUUACGGGGAAAGAUUUAUUGCCGAAGGAACGGCCCGCGUCCGAUUAGCUAGUUGGUGAGGUAAUGGCUCACCAAGGCGACGAUCGGUAGCUGGUCUGAGAGGAUGACCAGCAUCACUGGGACUGAGACACGGCCCAGACUCCUACGGGAGGCAGCAGUGGGGAAUAUUGGACAAUGGGGGAAACCCUGAUCCAGCCAUGCCGCGUGAGUGAUGAAGGCCUUCGGGUUGUAAAACUCUUUCGACGGGGACGAUAAUGACGGUACCGUAGAAGAAGCUCCGGCUAACUUCGUGCCAGCAGCCGC
rnacentral:rRNA from 1 species